rnacentral:rRNA from 1 species
AUUGAACGCUGGCGGCAUGCCUUACACAUGCAAGUCGAACGGCAGCACGGGUGCUUGCACCUGGUGGCGAGUGGCGAACGGGUGAGUAAUACAUCGGAACAUGUCCUGUAGUGGGGGAUAGCCCGGCGAAAGCCGGAUUAAUACCGCAUACGAUCUACGGAUGACAGCGGGGGACCUUCGGGCCUCGCGCUAUAGGGUUGGCCGAUGGCUGUUAAGCUAGUGGGUGGGGUAAAGGGCUACCCAGGGGACGUUACGUAUCUGGUCUGAGAGGACGACCAGCCGCACUGGGACUGAGACACGGCCCAGACGCCUACGGGAGGCAGCCGUGGGGAAUUGUGGAGAAGGGGCGAAAGCCUGAGCCAGCAAUGCCGCGGGUGUGAAGAAGGCCUUCGGGUUGUAAAGCACUUUUGUCCGGAAAGAAAUCCUUGGCCCUAAUACGGUCGGGGGAUGACGGUACCGGAAGAAUGAGCAACGGCUAACUACGUG